CGUAGGUGGCAAGCGUUGUCCGGAUUUAUUGGGUUUAAAGGAUGCGUAGGCGGUUCCAUAAGUCAGUGGUGAAAUACGGCAGCUCAACUGUCGAGGUGCCAUUGAUACUGCGGAACUUGAGUACUGAUGAGGUAGGCGGAAUUGACGGUGUAGCGGUGAAAUGCUUAGAUAUCGUCAAGAACACCGAUAGCGAAGGCAGCUUACCAAGCAGUAACUGACGCUGAGGCACGAAAGUGCGGGGAUCAAACAGGAUUAGAUACCCUGGUAGUCCGCACAGUAAACGAUGAUUACUCGAUGUUGGCGAUACACAGCCAGCGUCUUAGCGAAAGCGAUAAGUAAUCCACCUGGGGAGUACGCCCGCAAGGGUG
rnacentral:rRNA from 1 species